AAAAAAAAAUUCCUAAAAAUACUUUAAAUUUUCUACAAAAAGUAUGACUGGAUUAAAAUAAUGUAUUAAGAUAAGGUUUGAAAACAAAACUAGGGCUACAAAGCCUUGAAUAGUAUUUUCUUUACUAAAAAAUGACUAAAAAAUACUAAAAAUACUUAAGUAAUUUUCUACAAAUAUUAGAAUUGGAUCAAAAUAAUAUAUUAAAAUAAGUUUUGAAAAAAAAAAAAAAAACUAGGGCUAUGAAGCCUCGAAUAGUAUGUUUAUAGUAAAAAAGUACUAAAAAUACUAGAAAAAUACUAAAAAUACUAAUUUUCUACAAAAACUGAGAUUGCAUUAAAAUAGUUUAAAAUAAGGUUUGAAAACAAAACUAGGGCUAUGAAGUCUUGAUAGUGUUUUUGUACUAAAAAUUACUAAAAAUACUUCAUUAUGUACUUAAUUAAUUUUCUGUAAAAGCUAGGAUUGGAUCAAAAUAAUAAAUUAAAAUAAGUUUUGAAAACAAAACUAAAGCUAUGAAACCUCAAAUAGUAUUUUUAUAGUAAAAAUUACAAAGAGAAAUACUAAAAAUACUUUACUAAUUUUCUACAAAAACUAGGAUUAGAUCAAAAUAAUAUAUUAAAAUAAGUUUUGAAAACAAAACUAGGGCUAUGAAGCCUUGAAUAAUAUUUUUAUAGUAAAAAAGUACUAAAAAUACUAGAAAAAUACUAAAAAUAUUAAUUUUCUACAAAAACUGAGAUUGCAUUAAAAUUGUUUAAAAUAAGGUUUGAAAACAAAACUAGGGCUAUGAAGUCUCGAAUAGUGUUUUUGUACUAAAAAUUACUAAAAAUACUUCAUUAAGUACUUCAUUAAUUUUCUGUAAAAGCUAGGAUUGGAUCAAAAUAAUACAUUAAAAUAAGUUUUGAAAACAAAACUAAGGCUACGAAACCUCAAAUAGUAUUUUUAUAGUAAAAAUUACAAAGAAAAAUACUAAAAAUACUUUACUAAUUUUCUACAAAAACUAGGAUUGGAUCAAAAUAAUAUAUUAAAAUAAGUUUUGAAAACAAUACUAGGGCUAUGAAACCUCAAACAGUAUUUUUGUAUUAACAAUUUCAACAACAAAAAAGCUAGAAAUACUUUAGUAAUUUUCUACAAAACUAGGACUGGAUCAAAAUAAUAAAUUAAAAUAAGUUUUGAAAACAAAAAGCCGCAGUAUGUAAAAUACAAAAAUGUGAAUUCGUGAAAACGGUGACAUCAUGCACGUGUAUUACACAUUCAGUCUAUAGGCAUGCUACAACAUUUUUAGAAAUUUUUGUGGUUAAUGAGCAUUGUUGUAACAAUGUAGUCAUCUGUAUGCGAAACGUUUAGAAACCGCAAAGGAAAUUCCUUCCGGUUUUUAGCGCACUGUUGUCAUAUAAACAUACCUUCAAACUGAAAUAGAAAUUAAUAAUUAACAUAAUUAAAAACUAUGUUUAAAACUAACAGAGGACAAAAACAUAAGAUUACUGAAACUUUAACUUAAAUUAAUAUGAAAACAGAAAAUAUAUAUCAAAAUAUAUAAGUCAAAGUAUUAACAAAAACUCCGACAAAAAUAACACUGUGUCGUAACUCUGACAUCCUCUUGUCAGAGGCCAUUCCCUCUUUACGAUCAAAGCAGCUGCAUAAUCAUUUUCAUUUAGAAGCAUUUUUCCCUUGUGAACAGAGAUCACAGAAAAUGGGUCAGUGUGUGCCAGAGGUGCAGUGUCUUUCCCAGCGCGGAUCGCUCUUCCUGUGAAGAUUCAGCCUCACCAUCGCUCUCACAGUAGAAACGGGGGGAAGGGAGGGACACACAAUAGAGCGAGAGGAGCUGGUGAAUAAAGGGGGUCACGGGGUCACGUUAAACACAGACUCUGUCCUGAACACGCCUGCUGGGGAAGAUCCGAGUUUUAGUGAUCCUUCGGAUAAAGAUAAUGAUUACGUCUCCUAUAUCGCUGUCCUGAACAAACUGCUCACUUCAACUCUGAAGUGAUGUGAAAACGUCACGCUGAAUGAUGAGGUAAUCUUGUUUCUCCACUAAAACCAUUAAAGAAAUGACCCACAAUUUACUCACAUUUUUCACCUGGGAGACCAAAAUAAUGUGUGAAAAAACUCCUGUAAACUUAAACUGAAGGAAGGAACUAGGGCUAGAUCUUGGUAACAUGUACCAUUUACACUAAUAUGCAUUUAGGGGUAAAUAAGGUACAAAAGUGUACCUUUUUCAAAGUUACUGCCCCACUGACAGCUUUUCUGAGAGUGUAUGAAGACUAAUUUAAAAAGUGUGAUUUCUAGACUGAAUGAGCUAAAUAAAAAUGUUUUACUAGUUAUGCCAAGAACUAAAAUAUUUUAUCAGGUUGAAAUGGUAAAAGGUAAACAUUUUGUUUUAAAACAAAACUAGGCCUAUGAAACCUCAAAUAAUGUUUUCUUACUAAAAAACAAAAAAAACAAAAAAAAAACACAAACUAGGAUUGGAUUUUGAAAACAAAACUAGGGCUACGAAGCCUCAAGUAGUAUUUUUAUUAAACCAAAUUACUAAAACUACUUUACUAAUUUUCUAAAAAAAACUAGGAUUGGAUCAAAAUAAUAUAGUAGAGUAAGUUUUGAAAACAUAUGUAGGGCUACAAAGUCUCUAACAGGAUUAUUUUACAAAACAAUUACUGAAAAAUACUAAAAAUAUCUUACUAAUUUCCAACAAAAACUAGGACUGGAUUAAAAUAAUAUAUUAAAAUAAGUUAAUAAGUUUCAUAAGACUAUGAAGCGUCGAAUAGUAUUUUUUUUACAACAUUUUUUUUUACAAAAAAAUACUUUACUAAUUUCCUACAAAAACUAUAGGAUGGAUCAAAAUAAUAUAGUAAAAUAAAUUUUAAAAACAAAUCUAGGGCUACAAAGCCUUGAAUAGUAUUUUCUUUUUACUAAAAAUACUUUACAAAUUUUCUACAGAAACUAGGAUUGGAUCAAAAUAAUAUAUUACAGUAAGUUUUGAAAACAAAACUAGGGCUAUAAAACCCUGAAGUAUUUUUUACAAAAAAAAAAAAUAGCUAAAAAUACUAAAAAUACUUUAGUAAUUUCGUACAAAAAUUAAGAUUGGAUUAUAAUAUGUUAAAAUAAGUUUUAAAGAGACAAAACUAGAGCUACGAAGCAUCAAAUAGUAUUUUUUAUUAAGUAAUUUCUAAAAAAUUACUGAAAAUACUUUAGUAAUUUCAUACAAAAAUUAAGAUUGGAUCAAAAUAAUAUAAUAAAAUAAAUUUUUAAAACAAAUCUAGGGCUACAAAGCCUCAAAUAGCAUUUUUUUAAACUAAAAAUACUUUACUAAUUUUCUACAGAAACUAGUGGAUCAAAAUAAUAUAUUAAAAUAAGUUUUGAAAACAAAACUAGGACUAUGAAGCCUCGAAUAGUAUUUUUUUUACUAAAAAAAUUACACAAAAUACUUUACUAAUUUCCUCUAAAAACUAGGAUUGCAUCAAAAUAAUAUAAUAAAAUACAUUUUGAAAACAAAUCUAGGGCUACAAAGCUACAAAAGUUUUUUUUUUUUUUUUACUGAAAAGAAAUUAUAUAAAAAAAAAAGGUAAAUACUGGAUCAAAAUAAUAUACUAAAAUAAGUAAAAAAAAAAAAAAGAAAGAA